AACGCUAGCUACAGGCUUAACACAUGCAAGUCGCGGGGUAACAUCUGGGAGAGCUUGCUCUUCCAGGAUGACGACCGGCGCACGGGUGAGUAACGCGUAUCCAACCUGGCCCAUACCACGGGAUAGCCCGUCGAAAGGCGGAUUAAUACCGUAUGCUGUCAUCAAGAUGCAUAUAUUGAUGACGAAAGGACUGGCGGUAUGGGAUGGGGAUGCGUCUGAUUAGCUUGUUGGCGGGGUAACGGCCCACCAAGGCGACGAUCAGUAGGGGUUCUGAGAGGAAGGUCCCCCACAUUGGAACUGAGACACGGUCCAAACUCCUACGGGAGGCAGCAGUGAGGAAUAUUGGUCAAUGGGCGCAAGCCUGAACCAGCCAAGUAGCGUGAGGGAAGACUGCCCUACGGGUUGUAAACCUCUUUUGUUUGGGAAUAAAGUGCGGGACGUGUCCCGCAUUGCAUGUACCAUUUGAAUAAGGACCGGCUAAUUCCGUGCCAGCAGCCGUGGUAAUACGGAAGGUCCGGGCGUUAUCCGGAUUUAUUGGGUUUAAAGGGAGCGCAGGCCGUGGGUUAAGCGUGUCGUGAAAUUCCGUCGCUCAACGGCGGACGUGCGGCGCGAACUGGUCCACUUGAGUACGCGGGACGUUGGCGGAAUUCGUGGUGUAGCGGUGAAAUGCUUAGAUAUCACGAAGAACUCCGAUUG
rnacentral:rRNA from 1 species